CAAUAGCGUAUAUUUAAGUUGUUGCAGUUAAAAAGCUCGUAGUUGGAUUUCGGGUGGGACGCAGCGGUCUCGCAUUGCGUUUGUACUGCUGCAGCCCUCCUUCUUGCCGGGGGCGGCCUCUCGGACUUCACUGUCUGGGGGUCAGAAUCGGCGAUGUUACUUUGAGUAAAUUAGAGUGUUCAAAGCAAGCUUACGCUCCGAAUAUAAUAGCAUGGGAUAACACGACAGGACUCUGGCCUAUCGUGUUGGUCUAUAGGACCAGAGUAAUGAUUAAGAGGGACAGUCGGGGGCAUUCGUAUUCCGUUGUCAGAGGUGAAAUUCUUGGAUUUACGGAAGACGAACAUCUGCGAAAGCAUUUGCCAAGGAUGUUUNCAUUG
rnacentral:rRNA from 1 species